GAAAUACAUCAACUGAAGAUUGGAAGAGGAGAACUCUCAGCACACCAUCCAUUGUAUGCUUUGACUGUGGAAUCUCAAAAGGGCUGCUUCUUACUGAAAAGAAACUGCUGUGCUUAUCAUGUGGUGUAGAUUUCCCACAAAACACAAGAGGGAAAACAAGGAAGAAAACCUUGAAAUACUGAAAGGCUGACCUAGUGUUUUUAACUAAUGCCUGCAAACUCACUUUAACAAAAGACUUCAGUAUUAAUCUCAUGGAAAUCCAGAGCUUCAAAGAGUACAGCAUUCACCUUGAGGACAACAGCCUCUUAUAGCCACACCAUCCAAUGCACUUCAGAAGACAAAACACUGAUUUUACAUGAGUGUGAAAUGAAGAGAUGCUGUGUGGGAAGAUCUGGAAAGCACAGGCCUUUAAAACAAUGCUCUACUACAUUAGGAUUCAAAUUCUUACACUAGCAUAACAUUCUUACACUAGCAUAAAAAAUCUCC